AGACCUGCUCCCCUUUGGAGAUGAUUUUUCCAGUCGCUGAUCAGCAGAGCCAGGUCACCUCAUGCCAUUUCUGAACCUCAGGCAGGAUCUUAGUUUAGUGUAGCUAGGACAGUUUUUAAAAAAUUAUGUGGUGUGUGAGUGUGAGUGUGAGUGUGUGUGUACAAGCAGCACAGGUAUGGAGGACAGAGGACAAUCUGGGUACAAAAUUGAAGAAACUCCUUCCUUCUCCUUCUUUCCCAUCCAGAUGGAUCAUCAGUCAGAGAUACCCUGUGUCCUUAGGGGGGUUCCAAAAUAAUCAAGCCCCGUGUUGCUCCUGUGGUUGGUGAUCAUCUCCUGCAAUCAGGAAACAGGCAAAGUAGGUCUGAAACAGGAGUUAGUUCUUACUUCCACUUAUUUAUUUAAAACACUCAUGUAGCGCUUACUUUGUUUGCUGGGCACUGUUCUGAGUUUUUUAUAAAUAUUAACUUAGUGGGU
rnacentral:lncRNA from 1 species